UACGUAGGGGGCGAGCGUUAUCCGGAAUUACUGGGCGUAAAGCGCACGCAGGCGGCUCGCCAAGUUUGGAGUGACAGUUGUCGGCUCAACCGACAAAGGACUUCAAAAACUGGUGAACUUGAGGAUGAGAGAGGAACAUGGAACUCCAGGUGUAGUAGUGAAAUGCGUAGAUAUCUGGAAGAACACCAAUGGCGAAGGCAAUGUUCUGGCUCGUUUCUGACGCUCAGGUGCGAAAGCCAGGGGAGCGAACGGG
rnacentral:rRNA from 1 species